GUGCUAAUACCGGAUACGAAGACAGAACCGCAUGGUUAUGUUUUGAAAGAUGGCCUCUGUUUAUAAGCUGUCGCCGGGGGAUGGGCCUGCGUCCGAUUAGCUGGUUGGCGGGGUAACGGCCCACCAAGGCGACGAUCGGUAGCCGGUCUGAGAGGAUGAACGGCCACAUUGGGACUGAGACACGGCCCAGACUCCUACGGGAGGCAGCAGUGGGGAAUCUUCCGCAAUGGGCGCAAGCCUGACGGAGCAACGCCGCGUGAGUGAGGAAGUUUUUCGGAACGUAAAGCUCUGUUGUUCCCGGCGAACGUGUAUCCUAUCAACAACGGGAUAUAAUGACGGUAGGGAACGAGGAAGCCACGGCUAACUACGUGCC
rnacentral:rRNA from 1 species